UCAAACUAGGGGUCGUUGGAAUUGUGGUUGGCAUCUUUGUAGCAUCUGUGAGAAGAAUGCCUACUAUAUGUGUUAUACAUGCACGUUCUCCUUGUGCAAGGGCUGUGUCAAAGAUGCUGUCAUCCUAUGUGUUAGAGGUAACAAAGGUUUCUGUCAGGCAUGCAUGAGAACUGUCAUGUUGAUUGAAAGGAAUGAGCAGGGAAACAACGAAGUGGCCCAAAUAAAUUUUGAUGACAGAAGUAGCUGGGAGUAUCUCUUCAAGGAUUACUGGAUUGAUUUAAAAGGGAGGCUAUCUAUAACUUCAGACGAACUUUCUCAAGCUAAAAAUCCAUGGAAAGGAUCCGAGUUACAUGCUGGGAAGCGGGAAUCCAUGGAUGAACCUUAUGAUUCUCAUAAUGAUGCAGGAUCAGGAUCAGACAGUUCUGGAAAUCCAGAAGUAACUACUUCUAAAAGAAGAAAGGCCAAAAAGCGGUUGAAAUCUCAUGCUAAGGAGAAGGAUUCACUGAUUACGACAACAGUAAAUGAUGCUGAAGAGGCAUCCCCUGAUGGAAGUGUGCAGUGGGCAUCAAAAGAGCUUUUGGAAUUUGUUAUGCAUAUGAAGAAUGGUGAUAAAUCUGUGUGUUCUCAAUUUGAUGUGCAAGCUCUUCUUCUGGAAUAUAUAAAAAGGAAUAAACUUCGUGAUCCUCGUCGUAAAAGUCAAAUAAUUUGUGAUUCAAGGCUUGAGAAACUGUUUGGGAAGCCACGUGUGGGGCAUUUUGAAAUGUUAAAACUUCUGGAAACUCACUUUCUUUUAAAAGAGGAUUCUCAGGCAGAUGAUCUUCAAGGGAGCGUUGUUGAUACUGAAACUAAUCAGUUGGAGGCUGAUGGAAACUCUGAUGUUCUAAUGAAGACUAGUAAGGACAAGAGACGUAGGUCACGUAAAAAGGGUUAUGGAANNNNNNNNNNNNNGAGGAUUGCAAUCUAAUCUUGAUGAUUAUGCAGCCAUUGAUACACACAACAUCAAUUUAAUCUACUUACGGCGGAGUUUGUUGGAGAAUCUAAUUGAGGAUGCUGAAACAUUUCAUGAUAAAGUUGUUGGUUCUUUUGUGAGAAUAAGGAUAUCUGGAAGUGCUCAAAAGCAAGAUUUAUAUAGGCUAGUCCAAGUUGUUGGUACAAACAAAGCUUCUGAACCCUAUAGAGUUGGCAAAAAGACAACUGAUUACCUGCUGGAAAUAUUAAAUUUAAACAAGACAGAGAUUGUUUCAAUUGACAUAAUCUCAAAUCAAGAAUUCACUGAGGAUGAAUGCAAGCGACUGCGACAGAGCAUAAAAUGUGGUCUUAUCAAUCGGUUGACUGUGGGUGACAUUCAGGAAAAGGCCAUGGCACUUCAGGCAGUCAGAGUUGAAGAUUCGUUGGAAUCAGAGGUAACACGUCUCAGUCAUCUUCGUGAUCGAGCCAGUGAUUUGGGCCGGAAGAAGGAGCUUAGAGAAUGCGUAGAGAAAUUGCAACUUCUGAAGUUGCCUGAGGAGCACCAGCGCAGAUUGGAAGAAAUACCAGAAAUUCAUGCUGACCCAAAUAUGGA
rnacentral:misc_RNA from 1 species